rnacentral:rRNA from 1 species
GUCUAUGGCCAUACUACCCUGAACAAGUCCAAUCCUGUCUGAUCUCAUGAAGCUAAGCAGGGUCAGGCCUGGUUAGUACUUGGACGGGAGACCACCUAGGAAGACCAGGUGCUGUAAGCG